rnacentral:rRNA from 1 species
AUCGAACGCUGGCGGCAGGCUUAACACAUGCAAGUCGAGCGAGCGGCGGACGGGUGAGUAAUGUGUGGGAAACUGCCUGAUGGAGGGGGAUAAAUACUGGAAACGGUAGCUAAUACCGCAUACCAUCAGCUGUGGCCAGCUGGGAUUAUCUAGUGGGUGGGGUAAUGGCUCACCUAGGUGACGAUCCCUAGCUGGUCUGAGAGGAUGACCAGCCACACUGGAACUGAGACACGGUCCAGACUCCUACGGGAGGCAGCAGUGGGGAAUAUUGCACAAUGGGCGCAAUCCUGAUGCAGCCAUGCCGCGUGUGUGAAGAAGGCCUUCGGGUUGUAAAGCACUUUCAGCGAGGAGGCGUUACUCGCAGAAGAAGCACCGGCUAACUCCGUGCCAGCAGCCGCGGUAAUUC